CAUGAUAAAUCUAAUAUUUGAAUUGAGCAAGAUUUCAGGAACAACAAUCCAAUCCUACACACUUGGAACAAAUUGCUUGGAACACAAGAAAUCAACAAAAGUUGAUUAUUCACUGAGUAAAUCGAUUGGGAAAUCGAUUUCAUAACAAGGGUGUAAGGAUAAGUAUAUGUUUGUGAUUGUAUAAUCGAUUGGGAAAUCGACUGACUAAAUUAGAAUUGAAAAUUGAACAAGUCAGUGGCAACCUGAUUUACAGGUUAAUCGAUUGACAAAUCGAUUGUGCAUAUCACAAAAUGAAAACUGAU
rnacentral:lncRNA from 1 species